rnacentral:rRNA from 1 species
GACGAACGCUGGCGGCGUGCUUAACACAUGCAAGUCGAACGAAGUGGCGAACGGGUGAGUAACGCGUAAUCAACCUGCCCUUCAGAGGGGGACAACAGUUGGAAACGACUGCUAAUACCGCAUAACGACGGGGGGGAUUGCGUCUGAUUGGCUGGUUGGAGGGGUAAAGGCCCACCAAGGCGAAGAUCAGUAGCCUGUCUGAGAGGUUGAACGGCCCAAUUGGGAAUUGAGCCCAGCCCAGAAUCCUACGGGAGGCAGCAUGGGGGAAAUUUCCGCAAUGGGAGAAAGUCUGACUCAGCAAAGCCGCGGGAUUUAUGACGGGCUUUGGGUUUUAAAGCUCUGUUUAUCAGGACACGGUACCGGAAUAGAAAGCAACGGCUAACUACGUGCCAGCAGCCGCGGUAAUAC